GUAGUUAUACAGUGUGUAGCGAUUCAUUGCGUUUUUGCUCCUAAAGUAUACUCUUGUAUAUAUAUUUGGCUUUUAGGGCCACCUUAUGAUUAACGACUACUUGGGA
rfam:Arcobacter thereius strain 117434 AAX28_contig000001, whole genome shotgun sequence.